CUCUCCCUCUGUCGGCAGGCCUAACACAUGCAAGUCGAACGAACCUUUCGGGGUUAGUGGCGGACGGGUGAGUAACACGUGGGAACGUGCCUUUAGGUUCGGAAUAACUCAGGGAAACUUGUGCUAAUACCGAAUGUGCCCUUCGGGGGAAAGAUUUAUCGCCUUUAGAGCGGCCCGCGUCUGAUUAGCUAGUUGGUUGAGGUAAUGGCUCACCAAGGCGACGAUCAGUAGCUGGUCUGAGAGGAUGAUCAGCCACAUUGGGACUGAGACACGGCCCAAACUCCUACGGGAGGCAGCAGUGGGGAAUCUUGCGCAAUGGGCGAAAGCCUGACGCAGCCAUGCCGCGUGAAUGAUGAAGGUCUUAGGAUUGUAAAAUUCUUUCACCGGGGACGAUAAUGACGGUACCCGGAGAAGAGGCCCCGGCUAACUUCGUG
rnacentral:rRNA from 1 species